UUUCCGUAGGUGAACCUGCGGAAGGAUCAUUAAAGAAUUGCCACGUCUUCACGACGAUGGGUUCUAUACCAACCCGUGUUUACAUACCUUUGUUGCUUUGGCGGGCCGCCGCUCCGGCGUCGGCUCCGGCGGACUGCGCCCGCCAGAGGACCACAACUCUUUUGUUUAGUAAAGUCGGAGUACUAUAUAAUAGUUAAAACUUUCAACAACGGAUCUCUUGGUUCUG
rnacentral:misc_RNA from 1 species